UACGUAGGGUGCGAGCGUUGCCCGGAUUUAUUGGGCGUAAAGGGCGCGCAGGCGGCUACGCACGUCCGUUGUGAAAUCGCUCGGCUCAACUGGGCGGGGUCAGCGGAUACGGCGUAGCUGGAGCAAGCUAGGGGGCAAUGGAAUUCCCGGUGUAGUGGUGGAAUGCGUAGAUAUCAGGAGGAACACCGGUGGCGAAGGCGGGUCUCUGGGCAGUAACUGACGCUGAGAAGCGAAAGCGUGGGGAGCGAACAGG
rnacentral:rRNA from 1 species